rnacentral:rRNA from 1 species
UACCAGCACCCCGAGUGGUCGGGACGAUUAUUGGGCCUAAAGCAUCCGUAGCCGGUCAUGCAAGUCCUCCGUUAAAUCCACCUGCUUAACAGAUGGGCUGCGGAGGAUACUACAAGGCUAGGAGGCGGAAGAGGCAAGCGGUACUCAGUGGGUAGGGGUAAAAUCCUCUGAUCCAUUGAAGACCACCAGUGGCGAAGGCGGCUUGCCAAUACGCGCUCGACGGUGAGGGAUGAAAGCUGGGGGGAGCAA